ACAAUUCAAAUUGUACAACUGCAUUUACACAUUUAAAUAGGCCAAAAUCCCUCUUCUUUCACCCGCCCUUCGAGGGGUUGCUCUGCCUGUUGUGCAUUUGAAAAUACUGGCAGAGGACAGACAUCACUGCACACGAGCCUUGCUUCCCGAGGGGAAAUACAGACAUGAAUGUGUGCCUAUCUCCCCGCCCCAGUGCUCUCGCUGGGGUAAUUUUGCUCCACACUUCUCCCUGUGUUUAAAAACACAAUUCCGGCUUAUAUUUGGGACAAGCAUAUAAGUGAGUAGUUAUUUCAAAAGCACUACAAGGUUCCUUACCAAUAAUGUAGUUUGAGAAGGGUCAGAAAAACGUGGGGAAAAAAAGCACAAAGCGUUUUCUGGUUGAGAGAAAAAUGAGGGCAACUAGGGACACUGGAACAAUAAUGUAUCCAAGCCUCUUUAUUAGCAAAAUAUUUGGUUACUGUAAAAUUCGGCUUUGGAAAAGAGUUAACUUGAAAAGUCAGAGGACAGUUUUGAAUUAACUGCUCACAGAGUUGUAGCCAGCCUUUCUUAAGACAACUCUCGAGUCACAUAAGCCAGCUGUACCCAAAUGUAGUUGUUCAUGUGUGCUUCGCAGUUCCUUGUUCCAUGAAAUUGAAUUUUCUUCACUGCCACGUCUUUGUGAGCUCUUUUGUUUGGGGUGAACCAACUGGUUCAAAGGCCAUGAUCUUAACCGAAAAGCGCAGAGCAUAGUAGAAACAUUUACUUCCCAGCGAGGUCCCAUGCCCGCAAUCCAAACUAACCUCCUCCUAACCUCCUGAAGUCUAGCUGUCAGUUCAAGAGUCAGUUCUGUUCUUUUCUGUUUCCUUCUAUUCAGCUUGUUAGACACAACAACCAACAUACUCAAACAAGGCCAUAUCUACUGAAGUAUAAGGAACGAAUCAAACGUAUGGAUUGCUACCAGUUUUAGCCGGGUCCUGCAGGAAAUAGGAUAUGCUUUUCUAGGCAUCUCCUUUCAGCAAUUGGCUGAGGCAGGAUACUGGGCUACAUGGACCGUCAGGGCAACCCAGCAGAUAUGUUUUUCCGUUUACACAACUCCUCACAGAAAAUUCUCCUUCACCUUACAGAAGAACGAGUCCAAAAGAGCUUUGAACUACAGGCUGGGGAGAUCACACCCUAAGAUGAACUGGUGCUUGCCAUGGCUCAGCAGUCUUCAGCCCCAGAUUUUCAGGGGGAAGGAAGAGAGAAAGCCACAGUUUCCCUCAGCACCAACCAACGCCACCUGUUGAUAGUGCAACAAUAACAGGAAGGGACAGACCCACACCCUUUCACCUACUCUUUAGAUACAGACAAACCUUCACAUCUGAAGACUGCAUCGGGCACCAUUAAAGAAGAAACUAAAGAAGUGAGUUGAAAAUAUAUUACUAAAAGACCUAUUCAAACACAGGUUACAAAAGGUGUGAGAUAAAACAAUCUAAGAUAUAAAAGUAUCUCGUAAGGCAUUAUACACUGCCACAGUGUAGUGGGACCUUGGUUUCUGUUACUAACAGUGCUAGAAACAGAGCCAAAGACUUGAAAGGACAGUCCUGCUCCCAACAACUCGCAACUUAAGCAUCAAAUACAUAAUAAUACUGGAGUAUCUUGUAUAUAUGUGCAUAUCUCAAACUAUAGUCUAAACAUCUAUGAAGUAAAAACAUUAAUGAAUUUCCUGAAAUUGGAGACUAUACAAAAUAAUCUUCCAGUACUCCAGGUCCUACUUAACUAUACAAGUUUUACAGUACAAUCAGAUCUUCAGCAAUGCUUGAUCUCUACCCAAAGGUGUUGCUUUCUGUGACGAAAGACAGAGUAGAAUGUUACAGCUCCAAGCCAGCAAUGGUUUGGACCUUGGUCUGUAGUCUGACAUACUUGGCUUCUAAUUUUCUUUGCAUUAGGAGAGAAAAUAAAGCAGCCAUAUUGCAGUGGACAAUUGCAUUUCAUCGCUAGUUACGGACUGAUUAUGCGGCAUGAUUUUUAACGUAUUAGAAGCACACUGGCCAAAGUACAAUUUCCUAAAUAUUUAAAAGGCAAACUUUCUGAUUUCUUUAUAUUGUACCUAUAUUGUACCUACAGUACUUGUAAGUAAAGUCUAUUACAUCCCCUCUCUCUCCUCACUGGAUUUUAAUUCUUCCCUUCAAGUAAGUUGUUCCACCACAGUCUUUUCACAGUUCUCGGUGGACUCUUUGGAGAUCAGCAACGCUGGACAAAAGCUGCUCUUGGACUUGAAGCUGUACAUUAUACAGUGCUCAACUGAGAGCCACAGACCAGGAACCAGGAACGCAAGUUGACUCUGUUAAUCUUGAUCUAAAGCUAUCAAUCUAGAGAAUUCUGCUGGGAAAGAUCAAGACACAGGUCUUUAAACCUCUCCUCCAUGAAGGUGAAUCUGAAAAGUACUAGCAUGAGAAAACCUAACAACUGCCUUCCUCAAAACAGGCCUAACAACCCAGGCCUCAGCUUUGUCAGCCAGUUCGGCUCUAUGCAACACUGUUAGUUUACACCACUGGAGAAUUUGUACAAUUUGUAGAUUUUUCUUUGCAUCCUGCAUGAAAGGAUUUUUUUUUUUUCGAACAAAUAUUAUUUUAUGAGAUAUGAAGUGCAUUAAAGUAGUUGUGUUUUAAGGCUUCACCUACCUAUCAACAAUUCUUUUAUUAAUAACCAUCUGAAAAAAGCAGUACCUCCCCCCCGCUUUGGUGUCCUUCAUUUGAUGGAAAUUACUGAACGUGUAUUACGUGCAUGGCAGGAAAAGCUUCUGAAGAUUGUUUUACGUACGCAAUUAUCACAGAGCAUAUACUGGCAGCAGAGAGAAAUACACUCUUUGAAAGCUAUCUACAAUAGGACAUUUUUUUCUUUAAAACUAUAUAUAGCAGCAUGAUACAGUUCCCAUGAAAGCAAUGGCAGGCAAUGUGGUAUGAAAUAAGCAUGAGUCUCAAUGCACACUGCUAGAUAUAUGCUCUUCACAGUGUAUGUUUUAUGCAUGACUGGAAUACGCUACUUUCUUGACAGCAUACUACGGUACAAGCAGAAGGAAUAACAGAUGAGACAGAACUACACUUUAAAAUUGAGCUCUUCGCUAACUAGAGAAGCUCCAUUACCGUAUCACUUUUUCCCUUUCGUUAGAGAGGGAAAAUAAAGUGUUAUGAAAUGUGAAAAAAACCUCAACCAACCAACCAAAUGAAUAAAAGAGGACAAAGGGGAAAAAAAAAAAAAAAGAUGUAAGGAUAAGCACAGUUAUAAAAACUUCAAACCUCAUUUCGAGCAUUUCAGUAUUCCUAGCUAGUGUGGUAAAGCUAAUUACAUUAGCUUAGCCACUCAAUUUUGUAAAGACACUGUCAUCUGACAUUAAAAACUCAGUAUUUCUUGCCAUACCAACGUGACAAUGGCCUCUAAGAUUCAUAAAUACUGAA